rnacentral:tRNA from 1 species
GAAAUAUGACAUUCAAAAUUAAGCUUCUAACUUAAACUUUUAGCGGUGCAAUUCCGUUAAUAUUUCU